rnacentral:rRNA from 1 species
AGAUUGAACGCUGGCGGACAUGCCUAACACAUGCAAGUCGAGCGGCAGCGCGGGGGCGACCCUGGCGGCGAGCGGCGGACGGGUGAGUAAGGCAUCGGAAUCUGCCCUGAUGUGGGGGAUUAACGUAGGGAAACUUAACGGCUAAUACCGCUAUACGACCGAGAGGUUAGAAAGCGGGGGACCGAAAGGGCCUCGCGCAGCAGGAUCGAGCCGAUGUCC